AGACGGGGGGGGCGAGCGUUGUUCGGAAUUACUGGGCGUAAAGGGCGCGCAGGCGGCUUGGGAAGUCUUGGGUGAAAGCCCCCAGCGCAACUGGGGAAUGGCCUGAGAAACCACUAGGCUGGAGUGCUGGAGAGGGAAGCGGAAUUCCCGGUGGAGCGGCGAAAUGCGUAGAUAUCGGGAGGAACACCAGAGGCGAAGGCGGCUUCCUGGACAGACACUGACGCUGAGGCGCGAAAGCUAGGGGAGCAAACGGGAUUAGAAACCCCUGUAGUCC
rnacentral:rRNA from 1 species